AUGAUCCAUGCAAUGCCUUGAAAUCACACAUGCACCGUCACAUGGUCCCGGGUGCUGUCGCGUCUCUGGCGACGAGCCGCGGCGGUCGGAUCCAUGGGGUGCGUGGAGGCCUAACC
rnacentral:sRNA from 1 species